GGAUCCAGACUUUGAUCCUGGCUCAGGAUGAACGCUAGCUACAGGCUUAACACAUGCAAGUCGAGGGGCAGCGGGAUUGAAGCUUGCUUCAAUUGCCGGCGACCGGCGCACGGGUGAGUAACGCGUAUCCAACCUUCCGUACACUCAGGGAUAGCCUUUCGAAAGAAAGAUUAAUACCUGAUAGUAUCUUAAGCACACAUGUAAUUAAGAUUAAAGAUUUAUCGGUGUACGAUGGGGAUGCGUUCCAUUAGGUAGUAGGCGGGGUAACGGCCCACCUAGCCAACGAUGGAUAGGGGUUCUGAGAGGAAGGUCCCCCACAUUGGAACUGAGACACGGUCCAAACUCCUACGGGAGGCAGCAGUGAGGAAUAUUGGUCAACGGACGAGAGUCUGAACCAGCCAAGUAGCGUGAAGGAUGAAGGUCCUACGGAUUGUAAACUUCUUUUAUAAGGGAAUAAACCCUCCCACGUGUGGGAGCUUGUAUGUACCUUAUGAAUAAGCAUCGGCUAACUCCGUGCCAGCAGCCGCGGUAAUACGGAGGAUGCGAGCGUUAUCCGGAUUUAUUGGGUUUAAAGGGAGCGCAGACGGGUCGUUAAGUCAGCUGUGAAAGUUUGGGGCUCAACCUUAAAAUUGCAGUUGAUACUGGCGUCCUUGAGUGCGGUUGAGGUGUGCGGAAUUCGUGGUGUAGCGGUGAAAUGCUUAGAUAUCACGAAGAACUCCGAUUGCGAAGGCAGCACACUAAUCCGUAACUGACGUUCAUGCUCGAAAGUGUGGGUAUCAAACAGGAUUAGAUACCCUGGUAGUCCACACGGUAAACGAUGGAUACUCGCUGUUGGCGAUAUACUGUCAGCGGCUUAGCGAAAGCGUUAAGUAUCCCACCUGGGGAGUACGCCGGCAACGGUGCAACUCAAAUGAAUUGACGG
rnacentral:rRNA from 1 species